UGCAGUCCUUGCUAUGGGCAGAUGUUUCUUCUGUUCUUCUUACAGCAGUAGGAGUGGUUGGACACUGAACCUCAAAGAAGAGGGAGCUAACAUCCCUUACCUGGAUAAGUGCCACAGAAAAAUGAAUAUGUAGACAUCUGCCUGGACUAAUUAAGUAAUCACUGCUCUUUGUGAUCUUCAAUGCCGUUCUUCACUCAAAAACCUCAAAGCGCAAAGAAUUUUUCUGAGGCAGAAAGCCACGCACAGUGGAGCUGUUUGUGCAUUGAGGGCAAUCUCCUUUGGCUUUUUUGAGCUCAAGUUCUUCAAGCAAGUAUUAGUGUGAACAGCAGCAGCUUAAAGCACUCCCUAAUCUUGAAGAGACCAUAAGUAACACACUGCUUGAACAAGACCUCACACAGAAAGUGUUGCUGUGGAAGUUUUAAGCAAGAUGCCCAACACCAAUUAGUUUGAAGAGCUAAAGCAUGUUUGGAUCCUCUGAUGAAUGGUGCUGAGGAUGAGUAUUUUGCAGACUAUUUUAUAUCUUAGAGAGCCCCAGCCAUGAAAUAUGCCCACAUGAAUGCCAUUUUCAGGGUUUCUAAGCAAAACAAAAGUAUGUACAUUUUAUUAACGCAGAUGGCGACAUUUUUAAAAAGAAUCCUAAUCAUCCACGGACAUUGCAACUUCCCCCUCUCCCUCCCACCUCUAUUGCAUGCACUAAGGAUCUAACUCACAUUACAAAAAUAACUUCAGAGAAGGGCUGAAACUAAAUUUCAUCAUUUCCCUUUUUUAAUGGCAACAGUUGCAAAUGUGUACAUAAUGUUGCUGCCACUUAAUCAGUUUAUUGUAAAUACCACAUACAAAUCAGUGGGGUUUUUUUUCUGUUUUCAAAACAAAUCUUGAAUAUUUGAAAAGCACUCUGAAAAUAAGUCCUUGUUUCAAUAUUUAGCUUAAAAAGUAGUCUAUUCUGUUAUUUAUUUUUGCCCCAAACCCUCGUUGUUUUAUUAAGAACUCCUCGGGAAGUUUUGCAUUGUUGGACAUGAAUUCAUUCCAUCCUCCAGACAAAACAGUGCUUGUGGAACUUGAUCAGCUUGAGGUUGCUGUUGGAGUAAUAGACAG